AUGAGGAGUCGGACCUGCCCAGUGAGGAUUAAAACUUUAACGGCCGCGGUACUCUGACCGUGCAAAGGUAGCAUAAUCAUUUGCCUUAUAAUUGAAGGCUAGUAUGAAUGGUUUGAUAAGAAUGCGACUGUCUCUUUAUAACUUUAUAGAACUUUAUUUUAAGGUGAAGAAGCCUUAAUUUAAUUAAUAGACAAGAAGACCCUAUCGAGCUUUAAAGAAAUUAGUAGAAAUUAAGAUUAAUAAUUAUAAAAAUUUAACUACUAAAAAUUUUAGUUGGGGCGACUGAGGAACAGAAAAAGCUUCCUUUAAAUAUAUUAGACAUUCAGGUAUUGAUCCAAAAUUUUUGAUUAAAGGAAUUAGUUACCGUAGGGAUAACAGCAUUAUCUUUUUUGAGAGCUCCUAUCGAAAAAAAAGUUUGUGACCUCGAUGUUGGACCAGAAUAUCCUAAAGAUGUAGAAGUCUUUAAGGGUUGGUCUGUUCGACCAUUAAAAUUCUA
rnacentral:rRNA from 1 species